AUUGAACGCUGGCGGCAGGCCUAACACAUGCAAGUCGAGCGGAUGACGGGAGCUUGCUCCUUGAUUCGGCGGCGGACGGGUGAGUAAUGCCUAGGAAUCUGCCUGGUAGUGGGGGACAACGUUUCGAAAGGGACGGUAAUACCGCAUACGUCCUACGGGAGAAAGCAGGGGACCUUCGGGCCUUGCGCUAUCAGAUGAGCCUAGGUCGGAUUAGCUAGUAGGUGAGGUAAUGGCUCACCUAGGCGACGAUCCGUAACUGGUCUGAGAGGAUGAUCAGUCACACUGGAACUGAGACACGGUCCAGACUCCUACGGGAGGCAGCAGUGGGGAAUAUUGGACAAUGGGCGAAAGCCUGAUCCAGCCAUGCCGCGUGUGUGAAGAAGGUCUUCGGAUUGUAAAGCACUUUAAGUUGGGAGGAAGGGUUGUACGUUAAUACCGUGCAAUUUUGACGUUACCGACAGAAUAAGCACCGGCUAACUCUGUGCCAGCCGCCGCCGUAA
rnacentral:rRNA from 1 species